AUCCUGGCUCAGACGAACGCUGGCGGCGUGCUUAACACAUGCAAGUCGAACGAUGAUCCGGUGCUUGCACCGGGGAUUAGUGGCGAACGGGUGAGUAACACGUGAGUAACCUGCCCUGGACUCUGGGAUAACCCCGAGAAAUCGGAGCUAAUACCGGAUAUGACCUUGGACCGCAUGGUUUGGGGUGGAAAGUUUUUCGGUCUGGGAUGGACUCGCGGCCUAUCAGCUUGUUGGUGAGGUAAUGGCUCACCAAGGCGUCGACGGGUAGCCGGCCUGAGAGGGUGACCGGCCACACUGGGACUGAGACACGGCCCAGACUCCUACGGGAGGCAGCAGUGGGGAAUAUUGCACAAUGGGCGCAAGCCUGAUGCAGCAACGCCGCGUGAGGGAUGACGGCCUUCGGGUUGUAAACCUCUUUUAGUAUGGAAGAAGGGGCCUCUUUCGGGGUCUUGACGGUACUUGCAGAAAAAGCACCG
rnacentral:rRNA from 1 species